UAUAUUUUUCAUAGAUGGAAUAAAACCCAUGGCUUGAUACUAGGUAAGAGCUCUACUACCUAGGGAAUGUUGUUUGAAGCAAUGACACCAGGUAUGGUGGCUGAAGAAUAUAAUUUCAGGAGGCUGACACAGGAGAAUUGCCAUAAGUUUGAGGUUAGCAGGGCUACAUAGUGAAUUUCAGGCUGACUUUGACUGCAGAGGGAUGCCUUUCUCCCAAAAAAAGAAGCAAAGAUGUGUUGUGUAUGGGGGUAGGGGGAGAAGGUAGAGAAGAAAAAAAGAAGAAGAAAGAAGUAGAUCAGACUACUGAGACCUUAAAGAGAGAGAGAGAGAGAGAGAGAGGGAGAAAAGAAAGAAAAGAAGCAAACAAACAGUAGUCCUUGGGGAAUUUGUACAGGGACAAGCCCAAGGUGACUUCCAACACAGAGAUCAGAGGGAGCCAAUAAAGGCCCGGGAAAGGCACAACCAGAGAGAUGGACGGGAAGGAGAGCGAGGCUGUGUGGAAGGAUGGCAGCUGUAGUGGGUGUUUCCAUUAGGGCAAAUGACCAUGGGUCCCAUGGUCUUCUAUCUUCCUAGAGGCUGCUAGGGAGGUGGGCUGACUGAGAAUCGGCCUUGGCCUUGACAUCGUAAACGUUAAUUCAACCUUCACAGCUCCACGGUCUUCAUGGUGUGUUUUCAGUGGUGGGAUGCGGUGGAUAGUGAGUUGAGUUAGCUUUAAGAGAGAAAAUGGAUGCUUGUUAAUUGAGUGACAGCUGGACAAAGGGGAAAGCUGGUUUAUAAAUUGGUCUGGAGCUGAUAGGUCAGUGAGGGACUUUGAGACGAGGAUGUGACUCAACAUGCAAGCCUUUCCUUGAAUGACAAUGCAGUCCUGAGUUGGAGUUCAGAGCUAUAGUCCUGGAGCAUGACUUCUUCGCCAUUUAUACCAUUUCCUCCCCUGGCCAGUUCACUCAGGCCUUGUGGGAGUCUGAAUGUGUCUGGCCCCUAUAAACUCAUAGGGAAUGGCACUAUUAGGAGG
rnacentral:lncRNA from 1 species